GGGGGAGUAGUACAGUGGUAGUACUUGCGAUCUCGCGGCAGGCCCUACCUGUUUGAGAAUCCGCAGGGCACGGGUUCGAUUCCCGUCUCCCCCA